rnacentral:pre_miRNA from 1 species
GGGGGGAGGCCGGAUCCUGGGCUGUGUCCCGGCGCCCUGUGCCCCGGAGCCUGCGCGGUUGGAUUCCUGCUCCUGCCCGCAGCCCCCU